rnacentral:rRNA from 1 species
CGCCUCUUGACCAUAUAAGAGGUCCAGCCUGCCCAGUGAGCAAUUAAACGGCCGCGGUAUACUAACCGUGCGAAGGUAGCGCAAUCACUUGUUCCUUAAAUAGGGACCUGUAUGAACGGCAUCACGAGGAUUUAACUGUCUCCCUCCUCUAAUCCGUGAAACUAAUCUCCCUGUGAAAAAGCAGGGAUGAGACUAUAAGACGAGAAGACCCUAUGGAACUUCAAACAAAUAAUUACCUGCUCCUUACCCCCGUCUUCCUGAAAACAAAUAUCGACGAGCACCCUAAUUAAGAGUUUUCGGUUGGGGUGACCACGGAGAAAAACCGACCCUCCGUGAUGAUCGUACUAAAUUGAUAAGCCACGAGCGACAGCUUUAAGCAUCAGUAAACUGACAUUAUUGACCCAAACUUUUUGAUCAACGAACCAAGCUACCCUAGGGAUAACAGCGCAAUCUACUUUGAGAGCACAUAUCGACAAGUAGGCUUACGACCUCGAUGUUGGAUCAGGGCCCCCUGGUGGUGCAGCCGCUACUCAAGGUUCGUUUGUUCAACGAUUAAAGCCCU